GGCAAUAGAAGGUGCUGCAUUCUGGCGA
rnacentral:sRNA from 1 species